GAACUGAUUCUGCUGAUUCCCUUGGUUAUUCGACCAACUAAAGUUUGGAUGAUUUCGGUAGUUGGGGUGGUAUGUGUUCUAAAACUGUCCUUGGUCUUUCCUAUAAUUGCUCACAUACUGUACCGACUUCGAGCUGACAGCACACUGAUCCGUUGAGUAUGACCCCGCACAAAUGUCACAUACGAAAGCAACUGUUUUCACUUUGCUCUCUGCUAGUGUAUCUAUCUUCUUUGCCAUCGCUGCCAUCUGUGCCGACAAC
rnacentral:lncRNA from 1 species